rnacentral:rRNA from 1 species
UACGUAGGGUGCAAGCGUUGUCCGGAAUUAUUGGGCGUAAAGAGCUCGUAGGCGGUCUGUCGCGUCUGCUGUGAAAACUCGGGGCUUAACCCCGGGCCUGCAGUGGGUACGGGCAGACUAGAGUGCGGUAGGGGAGACUGGAAUUCCUGGUGUAGCGGUGAAAUGCGCAGAUAUCAGGAGGAACACCGAUGGCGAAGGCAGUGUUCUGGGCCAGUACUGACGCUGAGGAGCGAAAGCGUGGGGAGCAAACAGG